rnacentral:tRNA from 1 species
AGUAGGAUAGAGCAGUUUGGUUAGCUCGUGAGUCUCAUAAUCUCAAGGUCACAGGUUCAAAUCCUGUUCCUGCUC